CAUUUCCACGUGUAAUGUAUAGCCGACCUUCCAGGCAGGUCUAUAUGCAGCUGUACGACUCCGACACCCGCGGGUUGUGAAGCAGGAGAUUCUCGCCAGAUCCAGAGCCCAGCUGGAGAAUUCAAGAUGGAGAAGUAUGGGUGAGAUGUGCAUGAUAGCCCACUCUUCCUCUAGGAACUUCUAACCACUUUUCUUUAGUACAAGAGAGAUUUAAAUGAUUUUUUCCAACCCAAAAAAUCAUAUACUUGAGGGUUCUCAUUAUCCUGCUGCUCCCACCAAACUUUCCACCUCUCUGCACGUUUGUAUCCUUUGUGAAAACUUGCUCAGUUAUUUUAUGAACCUUAACAAGAUCCAAGACAUUGGAGCUCUAGUUCUUCAAGACUGGACAUCCUAGAGAAAAUCGAGGACUGUAGUGACUCAGGUUUUCUUAUUGUUAUCUAGUAAACCCCACAGCAGUGUCUUCAAUGCAUAUUGACUUCUGAAAAAACAUUUCAGUACGAUCUGCAGCAAAUUUCAAUUAAAUAUAC